CCUACGGGAGGCAGCAGUGGGGAAUAUUGCACAAUGGGCGCAAGCCUGAUGCAGCCAUGCCGCGUGUGUGAAGAAGGCCUUCGGGUUGUAAAGCACUUUCAGCGGGGAGGAAGGCGGUGAGGUUAAUAACCUCAUCGAUUGACGUUACCCGCAGAAGAAGCACCGGCUAACUCCGUGCCAGCAGCCGCGGUAAUACGGAGGGUGCAAGCGUUAAUCGGAAUUACUGGGCGUAAAGCGCACGCAGGCGGUCUGUCAAGUCGGAUGUGAAAUCCCCGGGCUCAACCGGGGAACUGCAUUCGAAACUGGCAGGCUAGAGUCUUGUAGAGGGGGGUAGAAUUCCAGGUGUAGCGGUGAAAUGCGUAGAGAUCUGGAGGAAUACCGGUGGCGAAGGCGGCCCCCUGGACAAAGACUGACGCUCAGGUGCGAAAGCGUGGGGAGCAAACAGGAUGAGAUACCCGAGUAGUC
rnacentral:rRNA from 1 species